GAUGAACGCUGGCGGCAGGCCUAACACAUGCAAGUCGAACGCAUCGCAAGAUGAGUGGCGCACGGGUGAGUAACACGUGGGAAUGUAUCCUUUGGUUCGGAAUAACGUCUGGAAACGGACGCUAAUACCGGAUGAGCCCUUAGGGGGAAAGAUUUAUCGCCGAAGGAGCAGCCCGCGUCUGAUUAGGUAGUUGGUGGGGUAAAGGCCUACCAAGCCGACGAUGAGUAGCUGGUCUGAGAGGAUGAUCAGCCACACUGGGACUGAGACACGGCCCAGACUCCUACGGGAGGCAGCAGUGGGGAAUAUUGGACAAUGGGCGCAAGCCUGAUCCAGCCAUGCCGCGUGAGUGAUGAAGGCCUUCGGGUUGUAAAGCUCUUUCAGCUGGGAAGAUAAUGGCUGUACCAGCAGAAGAAGCCCCGGCUAACUCCGUGCCAGCAGCCGCCGCCGUAA
rnacentral:rRNA from 1 species